rnacentral:rRNA from 1 species
AGGAAAUAAUAAUAAAACAAACCUAUUUACACUGGCGGCAUUUCAUCUAUUUAGAGGAACUUGUUUAAUAAUCGACACCCCACGAUAAUUUUACUUAAAUUUAAAACUUAUAUAUCGCCGUCUAAAGAAUCAAUUAAAAUAUAUUAUUCCCAAUAAUAAAUAAAAAGUUAGGUCAAGGUGUAGUCAAUAUUAAAGCUCAAAUGAGUUACUUUAAAUACAAUUCAAGGAUUAUUAAACUUAAAUUUUUUAUUAAAAAGGAUUUAACAGUAAUAUAAAAAUAAUUACUCUAUAUGAAAAAGAUAAUAAGUGUGU